UGCACCUGGUGGCGAGUGGCGAACGGGUGAGUAAUACAUCGGAACGUACCUUAUCGUGGGGGAUAACGCAGCGAAAGCUGUGCUAAUACCGCAUACGCCCUGAGGGGGAUAGCGGGGGAUCGAAAGACCUCGCGCGAUUAGAGCGGCCGAUGCCUGAUUAGCUUGUUGGUGGGGUAAAAGCCCACCAAGGCGACGAUCAGUAGCUGGUCUGAGAGGACGAUCAGCCACACUGGGACUGAGACACGGCCCAGACUCCUACGGGAGGCAGCAGUGGGGAAUUUUGGACAAUGGGGGAAACCCUGAUCCAGCAAUGCCGCGUGAGUGAAGAAGGCCUUCGGGUUGUAAAGCUCUUUUGUCAGGGAAGAAACACCGGCUCUAACACAGUCCGGGAAUGACGGUACCUGAAGAAUAAGCACCGGCUAACUACGUGCCAGCAGCCGCGGUAAUACGUAGGGUGCGAGCGUUAAUCGGAAUUACUGGGCGUAAAGCGUGCGCAGGCGGUUAUACAAGACAGGCGUGAAAUCCCCGGGCUUAACCUGGGAAUGGCGCCUGUGACUGUAUAGCUAGAGUGUGUCAGAGGGGGGUAGAAUUCCACGUGUAGCAGUGAAAUGCGUAGAUAUGUGGAGGAAUACCAAUGGCGAAGGCAGCCCCCUGGGAUAACACUGACGCUCAUGCACGAAAGCGUGGGGAGCAAACAGGA
rnacentral:rRNA from 1 species